rnacentral:lncRNA from 1 species
UCCUACAUAGUUACAUCAAAAGUAUGAAAGGACAGCCCAAAACAAAAUCUAUCUCCUAUAUUCCUUAUAAACUGUCUAGAAAUAGGUUAAUUUCCCCUAUAUCCUUAGGUACAGAAUGUAUACACCAAAAGUAAAAUGUUGCUAAACAGUUCAUCUUUAUACUUUGGAAGGGAAUGUUCUUGUUCUCAAAACAUCUCUGGUUUCUCUCCUUCCAGAUUGUCCACCAGAUGCAAGAAGGGACAAUCUUCCAUCUCUCCUUGUGUUCUGACUGAUUUCCAUCUCUAUUCCAGCAUGCUAGUACUUCUGAAGUAUGCCUUGGCAUGGCCCAUCCAAUACCCCUCAGAUUGAUGAACCAUUGCCAUAAUUUUCCAGUCACUUUACACUGCAGAAACAGAUGAUUUAGUGUCUCUAUUUCAGCUUCAUCUCUGGUUUCUCUCCUUCCAGAUUGUCCACCAGAUGCAAGAAGGGACAAUCUUCCAUCUCUCCUUGUGUUCUGACUGAUUUCCAUCUCUAUUCCAGCAUGCUAGUACUUCUGAAGUAUGCCUUGGCAUGGCCCAUCCAAUACCCCUCAGAUUGAUGAACCAUUGCCAUAAUUUUCCAGUCACUUUACACUGCAGAAAAAGAUGAUUUACUGUCUCUAUUUCAGCUUCACAAAAAAAACAUCUAGAGCAUAACUGCCUGCCCCUUUUCAUAAGGUUGUCCUGGG